rnacentral:rRNA from 1 species
GGGGUAAUUUGGGACAUGGGCGAAAGCCUGAUCCAGCCAUGCCGCGUGAGUGAAGAAGGCCCUAGGGUUGUAAAGCUCUUUCAGCAGGGAAGAUAAUGACGGGACCCAGACAAGAAGCCCCGGCUAACUCCGUGCCAGCAGCGCGGGUUAUACGGCGGGGGCUAGCGUUGUUCGGAAUUACUGGGCGUAAAGCGCACGUAUGCGGCCUGAAAAGUUAGGGGUGAAAUCCCUAGGCUUAACCCGGGAACUGCCUCAAAACUGAAAGCCUGGAAUCCGUUAGAGGUGAGUGGAAUUCCCAGGGUAGAGGUGAAAUUCGUAUAUAUUGGGAAGAACACCAAUGGCUAAAGCGGAUCACUGGCUCGGUACUGACGCUGAGGUGCUAAAGCGUACGGUGCAA